rfam:Ictidomys tridecemlineatus contig047244, whole genome shotgun sequence.
GGAAUUGUGGCUCAGUGGUAGAGCACUUACCCAGCAUGUGUGAGACAUUGGGUUCAAUUCUCAACAAUGCAU